AAAUCCAGUCGUACAAUUAACCCUACAUUCCACAAUUAAAUAAUCUCACUUUUCCACUAAAAUGUUUCAGGAAAUAUGGAAAUUCAUAAAUUACUGGUACUUUCGCUAUCUACUAAUAACCGAAUUAUACAUGGUUGAGAAAUGGGAGCGAGUGAUGAUACACAUCGUCUUCUUGAUCAUAUUUACAGUAAUCGGCCUCUUCAAUUGGACCGUCGUGCUUGGAUUAGUGGGAUACGUAGUCGGACCAAUCG